UGGCAGCCUCUCCAGCGGGAUUGCACCGACCUCAGCUGGCUGGCCAGGGACUUUUCUUUUUGAGCUUCUCGAUCACUGUACCCCAUGCUACGAGUCUCUUCUACAACUCCCGUUCUAGCUCCCCAAAAGCCCAGGAAUGAGUUGGGGUGCCGUAGCCCUACCCCUGUGCAAUAGGCUAUGAGUUUGUGGUGGAGAGGGAAUGCAUCUGUUACACUGUACUGUCCUGAGUGCUUACUGCAGUGCUCUGUGCUGGACGACUAUGACACGGUGUGGUUGUAGUGGCAGAAACUGAGUCACCAAUAGCAAUCAUUGAGUACUUAAUAGUGCCUGAACCCUGGGAGACUGAGUUGGAGCCUAUUCUGCGGAAGAAUUCCCGAUGACUUCUCUCUCUGCUCGUCUUGGCACCUAAUGAAAUGGAUGUAAUUUAUUUCCAUUAAUGUCUGUCUUCCCCCUCUACAGGACAGUACAAGUGUAGUAGUGGGCAGAGAAUAUGUCGAUUGUGAUAUCGUGCUCUGCUCGAUGUAAGUGCCGGAUAAAUACAACCGACUGAAAUAGGUCUCUAACCCCCAUCCUGUUCGUCAUAUGGUAUUCUGUCAAAGAGCCUUCAUUAAUCCCUUUUGCUGUCUUAGUGCACUUCACUGUCUAUACUGACUUAAGAUGUUUUUUAUGUACUCGUACUGCCCUUUCAAACUUACCUGGGGUUCAGGGUGCACAGCUUCAUGUAUUGACCCUGCAUAUGCCAUUGCACCAGUGUGUAACUCAAUUUUAAUGUCUUGGCACAUAGACCGAAAGCUUCUGGAGAGCAGGCGCCGUGUGUGCUCCGACGUGUUGAACUUUUUAAAGCAUCUGGACCUUGUUCCAGAGUCAGUGCUUCCUGCCUCUAGACUGUUCACUUGUUGUCGGCAGGGCCCUUGGCUGUCGUUCUAUUGUACUCUCCCAAGGGUAUAUAGCAAGCACAGUGCUCUGCACGUGGAGGUCAAAUACAAUCAACUGGCUGACUUAGGUUGUAAGCUCCCAGUGGGCAGAGGCUGUGUCACCCCUACAAAGAGGGUGUUUAAUACAUUAUGGUCUUUCUCGAGGCUGACCGAAUUUGGGGUCAGCUGCCCCAAUGGGAUGCUACCAUUGGAGUGGAGGCGGAGUGGGGGUGAAGGCCCACACUGGUACUGGUAAGUGUUGAGGGACUUGGCUGCGUGAGGAAAAAAGGCAGAAGUCCAGUUCUUUUUGCCCCCCACCCCCCGGAGAAGUUUCUCGGGCAAUCCUGCUUAGAGGACCAAGGAAGAAGCCUGAGCCCCAGAUGCAUCAUGGGAGACCCAGCCUCCCCGAGGACAUCUUGGUGCGGACAGGAGCAUAAGUGUUGUACUCCAAACCCCGGACUCUUGGAGCUGUGUUUGGGACAAAUGGGAGGAAUCAAUGCCUGUGGCACACCUUUUCAGCCUACCAAUGGUCACAUCGAUCCGCAGGAAGCCAGAGCCUGGACCUGCACCGGACCUGCACCAGACCAUCCGCCCCCGGGCAGAGUGGAGGACAAACCGCUCCUCAUGGGAUGCCAUGGACAUUGCGCCGGCCCCGCUAUUUGGGAGUCGCCUGGCACCA